GCAUUGGUUGUUCAGAGGUAGAAUUCUCGCUUUCCAUGUGGGCAACCUGGAUUCAAUUCCCGACCAAUGCA
rnacentral:tRNA from 1 species